GGAGCUAUAGCUCAGUGGCAGAGCACUUGCCUAGCAUAUACGAGGCACUGAGUUCAAUCCUUAGCACCA
rnacentral:tRNA from 1 species